AUGAAAUCCUGAAGAGAUGCCCAGAGGAGGGGCAUACCCAGAAAAGGCAGAGGGAAGGGUGAGUCUUAAGGAGAGAUUUUUCUCUGUUCAAACUUCCUUCUCCCAUUAGUUCCUCCAAACCAAUCAUAAGGCCUAACAGCUGUGGUAUUCCCUCCUGCCACGGGGAAGGACACUUUCUCUACUCUAGAAGAAUGUGGAAGGCCCUUGGGAGGCAGAGGCAGAAGGCCUGAUGCAAGUUUAAGGACAGCCUGGUCUACCUAAUGAGUACCAGGACAGCCUAGGCUACAUACGAACCUGCCUCAAACAAAUGCCACAAAACAGAAGCUAUGUCCUGAUUACAAGCAUUAGCCACAGCUCAUGUCAUUAUAAACCACGCCUCCCAGACAUCACAAUCACACGGAAUAAACUGUCCAAUUAUGAUGUAUCUUUAGGCCUAUACAGUAUAUAUUAUUUCUUUACUUCAACAUGGCUAUUCAAAUGAAGAAUCCUAUUAUCGCCAUAAACUUUCUUCUCUUUUUCUUGAGACUGCAUCUCACUAUGUACCCCUGGCUGGUUUGGAACUCACCGUGGAGAGCCCCCUGGCCUUUGUGGAGAGUGCUGGGAUUAAAAGCAUGCGUGAUCAUGCUUGUGCCUUCUAUACUUAAUUUUUAAAGUUGAAGAUGGGGCUCAGUGGUUCAGCUCAUGUGAAGCCUGGGUCUGAUGUUUAGCAUCACCCAAACCGCAGUGUCUGAGGCUUGCCCGCCUACAGACGGAUUAAGAGGAAUGUGAAUGGGGGUUGCUAAGGAGACGGCUCUGCGGGUAAAGAGUUUUAUUCUUGAAACCCAUGUAACAAGAUGGGCAUGGUGGCACACAUGGUAAUCCCAAUCCUGGGGUGCACAGAGGCAGGAGGAUGCCUGGCACUCACUCACUUGCCAUCUCAGCAUACAAGCUCCAGGUCCCAGUGAGAGAUCCUGCCUUAAAAAGUAAAGUGGGGGACUCCUGGGGACUAACCCCCAAAGCUGACCUCCACCCUACAUACACACACACACACACACACACACACACACACACACACACACACACCACACACACUCUACACAUUACACCACAUACACUCUACACACCACACACACUCUACACACCACACACACCCUACACACCACACACACACAGAAAACAUAUGAGAAAUACCACCCCUCCCAAAAAAUAAGUCCAUACCUCUCCCUUCCCUGCUGACGCCCUUCCCUAGCUCCCUAGCUCCUCUAUUUGACAGACUCUGUGAGGGAAACUCAAGCCCAAAGGGCAAACCAGCCACCCACGAGGGUCUCUCCCACUAGCACUACAAAGCACUGAGAUUUUGUUACCUCAGAGUUUGAAGUGACGGGCUACUCACUAAGUAGUCCUAAUAGAACAAUUAUACAUGCAUAUUUGACAAUGGGGAACGAAGCCAGGGUACUCAGAGAGCAUUUUACCCGCAGCUAACCAAGUUUAUACUGUAAGAUGAAUUUAAGGUGGGUAUAGUCUUCUCUACCCAACCAAUGACACUUGUCAAACACUUGAUUUGAAAGGCAGCCCAGCCGGGCAGGCGACCCUCUCUUGCCUGUGUGUAGAAUGCUAUUAUCCUUCACAGUCAGGGGACCCUGAGAAUUCUACUUUUUAAAAAGGGCCACAACUGGCAGUGGUGGCACACGCCGUGCACUCCCAGCGCUCUCAAGGGAGACUCAGAUGGAUCUCCCCGAGUUCAAGGCUAUCAGAGAGAUCCUAUCUCAAACAACAACACGAGGGCUUGUGAGGUCUCUGUGGUUCUCGGCAUCUGCCACCCAAGCCCGGCAACCUGAGCUUCAUCCACACAGUGUGGCUCUGAGAGAGAAACUCAAGUCUGAAAGGCCACCCACCCACGAGGGUCUCUCCUGCUAGCACCUCAAAGCACUGAGAUUAUCUGUUACCUCAAAGUUUGAAGUUUCCACACUGGGGUGGAAAAGGAAAACUAUCUCUAUAAAGUUGUCCUCUGACCACACUACACGUGGACUCCCCACAAUAAAAACAAAACAGCACUGACUGCUCUUCCAGAGGUCCUGAGUUCAAUUCCCAGC
rnacentral:lncRNA from 1 species